rnacentral:piRNA from 1 species
UGAAAGGAAGGACUAUGGAGCGU